rnacentral:rRNA from 1 species
UACGUAGGGUGCGAGCGUUAAUCGGAAUUACUGGGCGUAAAGCGUGCGUAGGCGGUUCUCCAAGUCCGUUGUGAAAUCCCCGGGCUUAACCUGGGAAUGGCAGUGGAAACUAGGGGACUUGAAUCUGGCAGAGGGGGGUGGAAUUCCACGGUGUAGCAGUGAAAUGCGUAGAGAUGUGGAGGAACACCGAUGGCGAAGGCAGCCCCCUGGGCUGAGAUUGACGCUGAGUGCACGGAAAGCGUGGGGAGCAAACAGG